AGGACGAAUGCUGGCGGCGUGCUUAACACAUGCAAGUCGAACGGAGAUCCAUUUGGUGGUAACACCAGAGAAGAUCUAGUGGCGAACGGGUGAGUAACACGUGAGCAACCUACCCCGAAGAUUGGGAUAACACCGGGAAACCGAUGCUAAUACCGAAUACCCCCACCGGGUCACAUGGCCUGAUGAGGAAAUGGGUUUCUGCUUCGGGAGGGGCUCGCGGCCUAUCAGUCUUGUUGGUGAGGUAACGGCUCACCAAGGCAUCGACGGGUAGCCGGUCUGAGAGGACGAUCAGCCACACUGGGACUGAGACACGGGCCCAGACCUCCUACGGGGAGGCAGC
rnacentral:rRNA from 1 species